rnacentral:rRNA from 1 species
GGCGAACGCUGGCGGCAGGCCUAACACAUGCAAGUCGAACGAACUCUUCGGAGUUAGUGGCGGACGGGUGAGUAACACGUGGGAACGUGCCCUUUGGUACGGAAUAACUCAGGGAAACUUGAGCUAAUACCGUAUGUGCCCUUCGGGGGAAAGAUUUAUCGCCAUUGGAGCGGCCCGCGUCUGAUUAGCUAGUUGGUGAGGUAAAGGCUCACCAAGGCUACGAUCAGUAGCUGGUCUGAGAGGAUGAUCAGCCACAUUGGGACUGAGACACGGCCCAAACUCCUACGGGAGGCAGCAGUGGGGAAUCUUGCGCAAUGGGCGAAAGCCUGACGCAGCCAUGCCGCGUGAAUGAUGAAGGUCUUAGGAUUGUAAAAUUCUUUCACCGGGGACGAUAAUGACGGUACCCGGAGAAGAAGCCCCGGCUAACUUCGUG